UACGUAGGGUGCGAGCGUUGUCCGGAAUUAUUGGGCGUAAAGGGCUCGUAGGCGGUUUGUCGCGUCGGGAGUGAAAACACACAGCUUAACUGUGUGCUUGCUUCCGAUACGGGCAGACUAGAGGUAUGCAGGGGAGAACGGAAUUCCUGGUGUAGCGGUGAAAUGCGCAGAUAUCAGGAGGAACACCGGUGGCGAAGGCGGUUCUCUGGGCCUUACCUGACGCUGAGGAGCGAAAGCGUGGGGAGCAAACAGG
rnacentral:rRNA from 1 species